UACGUAGGGUGCGAGCGUUGUCCGGAAUUACUGGGCGUAAAGAGCUCGUAGGUGGUUUGUCGCGUUGUUCGUGAAAACUCACAGCUCAACUGUGGGCGUGCGGGCGAUACGGGCAGACUGGAGUACUGCAGGGGAGACUGGAAUUCCUGGUGUAGCGGUGGAAUGCGCAGAUAUCAGGAGGAACACCGAUGGCGAAGGCAGGUCUCUGGGCCGCAACUGACGCUGAGGAGCGAAAGCGUGGGGAGCGAACAGG
rnacentral:rRNA from 1 species